UACGUAGGGGGCUAGCGUUGUCCGGAAUCAUUGGGCGUAAAGAGCGUGUAGGCGGUCCGGUAAGUCCGCUGUGAAAGUCGGGGGCUCAACCCUCGAAUGCCGGUGGAUACUGUCGGGCUAGAGUGCGGAAGAGGCGAGUGGAAUUCCUGGUGUAGCGGUGAAAUGCGCAGAUAUCAGGAGAACGACCUAUUGCGAAGGCAGCUCGCUGGGACGUAACUGACGCUGAGACGCGAAAGCGUGGGGAGCGAACAGG
rnacentral:rRNA from 1 species